rnacentral:rRNA from 1 species
GACGAACGCUGGCGGCGUGCCUAAUACAUGCAAGUUGAGCGAUGAAGAUUGGUGCUUGCACCAAUUUGCAGAGCAGCGAACGGGUGAGUAACGCGUGGGGAAUCUGCCUUUGAGCGGGGGACAACAUUUGGAAACGAAUGCUAAUACCGCAUAACAACUUUAAACAUAAGUUUUAAGUUUGAAAGAUGCAAUUGCAUCACUCAAAGAUGAUCCCGCGUUGUAUUAGCUAGUUGGUGAGGUAAAGGCUCACCAAGGCGAUGAUACAUAGCCGACCUGAGAGGGUGAUCGGCCACAGUGGGACUGAGACACGGCCCAAACGCCUACGGGAGGCAGCAGUAGGGAAUCUUCGGCAAUGGACGAAAGUCUGACCGAGCAACGCCGCGUGAGUGAAGAAGGGUUUCGGAUCGUAAAACUCUGUUGGUAGAGAAGAACGUUGGUGAGAGUGGAAAGCUCAUCAAGUGACGGUAACUACCCAGAAAGGGACGGCUAACUACGUG